rnacentral:rRNA from 1 species
CUUCCGCCGGCGACCGGCGCACGGGUGAGUAACGCGUAUGCAACCUGCCCCUGUCAGGGGGACAACCCGCCGAAAGGCGGGCUAAGCCCGCGUACAUGCCACCGGGGCAUCCCGGAGGCAGGAAAGGCUUCGGCCGGACAGGGAUGGGCAUGCGGCGCAUUAGGCAGUAGGCGGGGUAACGGCCCACCUAACCGACGAUGCGUAGGGGUUCUGAGAGGAAGGUCCCCCACACUGGUACUGAGACACGGACCAGACUCCUACGGGAGGCAGCAG